rnacentral:lncRNA from 1 species
AUUCCAUCAUGCCACUUCACAAAGGUGCUCUCAGUUGUGCUGUGUGUGGUUUAUCAGUCAUGGAUGAACGUCAACAUGAGGCCGUUCCCAGACCAGCGAGAGCGAGCACCAGCAGGAAGGCAGAUGAAUACUUAAAGCCUAGCCUAGGCAAGAAAAAUCUGAUGAGCUUUUUACUAGGCAGACAGCUGGGAAGGCAGAAGAGUGAUUCAGAAAUGUCAAAGUGGCUGUGGAUGGUGACCCGAGGAACUCCAGGGUGGAGUUGGCCUUUGCCAAAUCACCACAUUACUUACAUGCUUAUGCCCACCCCAAAUCAUUCCAAAUGCUUCCAAAAGAGUGGAAAAUAAAAUUUCUCCUUGUGUCGG